GUUUCUUAACCCGACUGUUGAUCCGCAUUUAGAAAGAGGAUAAAUUCACAGAGAGAGAAAGAAGAAAAAUACUCAAUUUCGAAAAAAGCCCUAAAUCAAAGCACACAAUGUUGAGCUAAUAAUCUCUGCAAUUUAUAAUAAACCCUCAAUUGAAGCCAUGGCAGGAAAAGAAUUUUGAGAAUACACCAAUCUAACCGAUCCUAAAGGUUUAAAUUGUAAAUGCAAACAAAUAUUUGACAGAUAAGAAAUUUGGUAAAGGGAAGGACAAGAUAGAUGGCGAGGAGGUCACUUUCCAACGCAUUGUUUCCAAGGGAUCCUGGCUUUUCCUACUGGGUGCUUGACAUGUUUAGAUGCAAGAGGUUGCUGUGAAACAUGGAGGUUACCUUCAUGGAAGAGGCGGUAUAGAUUCUUGCUCACAAUAAUUGCUUCCUCCUUUUGGUACAUUAGUUUGUCCAUAUAAUGAAAAUGUGAAAUAGUUUCUUGAACCUUGUUUAAGUUAUAUUUUGCAUCCCUAGACAACGAUGACUUACUUUACCUUAAGGAACAGAUGGAAGUUGACGAAGAUGUGAACGCCUUCUGCAAGGCAGCAAGAUUUACUAAAAAGUGUUUUAGGAGUCAAGCCUAAGAAGCCGAAAGUUUCUAGAAGGUUUGAUGGGAGUAAUUCCAUCUCAAGUACACAAGUUAUUCUUAGUAUUAAUUAUGAUUCCAAUCAGGAGAAGCAGAAAGAUGUCUUGCCGGCUAAACCAAAUGAUACUGAAAAAGAAACAAAGGUAGAUAAUCCGAUAAAAAUCUCGAUAGCAGCAUAUGAGAGUUCAGAUGAUGAAGAUUGAUUCUGUAUGGAUUUGAUUGAUGAAUGAUUCUUAGAUCAUAGUGUUUAAAUCAUCAAAUAUCCUUAGCAUUUGUAAUGUGGCCAUUUUGAUCGAGGAUCCAUCGCAGAGGCCUAAAUGUUGUUACCGUAAAUUAGCUGACAAGUGAAUAUCGAUAAAUUGUAUGUUGUAAUUUUACAUAGUUGAGAUGUGAGGUAUAAUCGUUUUGCAUAAAA